UGCUAGUAUAACGUAUCUCUUAUUAACUUUACUGCUAUGAUUGCGCAUCUAAAAUGUGUUUUAUUUCAGUUAUUGAUUGACCAUUUUUUAUUUAUGUUUGUGAUUUCUAAAGUUUAAAGAGUGACGAAGUGUAUUUCAAUACCAAACAACCAACAGUGUAAACAAUAUUAAACUUUUGGACCAACAAACGAAAUAAGAUUCGGACUUAACAGUACAAACAGUCAAGUAUAGAAACAACAGAUGCAUGUACGUCAGCGUCAGUGUAAAUACGGUAUCAGCCCGUAGUUCUUAGUAACGUUUAAACGAGAACAAUAUGACUAACUGUUAAGCGAUUGCGUAUAAAAAACGAAUAAUGGGCUGCCGCGGACCCCCGAUAUGAGUAUCGCGGACCCCUAGAGGGCCGCGGACCACAGGUUAAGAACCGCCGGUGUAGAUGGUUUCGGGUUUUAUUCGACGACGACCCACCCGCUGUCAUUCGUCCAGCGAAACUCUGGCCCGUGCGAACGUCUGCGUCGGAACCUCUUGGACUUGUCACGCGGCCACAUCGUCCGUCCGGCACCACUUCGAUCGACCGCGGGGCACCACGAUGCGCUCGCGUGUCGUGCACACAGCGAUCGCAUACGAGUACGGUAUAAACCGUUGGGCGUGAACCGUCGGCUGCGACUUUUUUCGUGAAACCAUUGCGCGCUACUGGCCUCCCUGAGGUCGACGGACAAUCCGGAGACGAAAUUCACCAACUCCACUCGUUCGGUUCAUCACUAGGGUGCGUCACGUUGCACCGAUCGAUCCGAUCGGAACCGUCCGAGUGCGUGCCGGAAUAAAAAAAAAAAAAAAAAACUGUCGAAGAGAACUGUUGUCAGCAUUAACAUCGAUUAAUAUUAAUCAAUAAUUUCGUUAAGUAGUGUUUACUACUUACUACUGUAAAUGUUUUAUACUAAUUUAUUACUUUUGUAUUUCAACU